AUUCUCACUGUAAAGGUCACAGGAGCUUUGCUACAUUGCUGGGGACUUUCUAUAUAGCUGUGCCUGAAGCUUUGUUGUGUAACUGUCGCGUGGAACCCCCUUCCCAAAGUUAAUUUACUAUGCUAAAAUGUGUAAGAAGAGUGAACCAUCAGACCAGCCUCUGGAAGUUUCUGCCCCAGUGCCUGCAAAGACCUCCCCACUAGCUGUGAGGUGGAGGCUCCAGGCAGCUUCUGCCUCCAUGAUGCUUGGCUUGUGUUGGGGGUGUGGCCACGGGGGGGCUGUGGUCACAGGGGAGCCAACCAAGAGCACCAAGGCCGCCCAUUGCCAUGGAGACGGGCCCAUGGGCCAACCAGGCCCAGGCUGGUCAGUGAAUGAAUAAACGUGGCCCAUUUUUCUGCCUUUGUCCUGAGGCUCCCCGCGGCUUCCUGCUGUCAGCCCCAGCUGUGGGGAAGGCGGAAUGUGCCUGACUGAUAUCGCCGGGCUGCCGCCGGGCAGCGCCAAGCCUGGCCUGGCUGCCCCACGCCAAGAUUCAUGCCCGGCAAACAAGCCACACUUUGUUCCUGUGGGAAAGUCCGGCCUCUCAGGAAAGAGCUCCUCUCCGCCGGGCCUGGGCUGGGGACGCGCAAGUUGAACAAAGCCUCAUCCGCUGGCCACGAUUCAUGGGCCCAAGGUCCUCCUCCGCCCCGGAGAGGAGAGGAGAGGACGGGUCUGCCCAGGGGCCAUCCCUUUGUCCCCCUCCUCCGGAAGCCCCUGCUGGAAGGUCUCCCUCACCUGCCCUUUGCUCUUCCUGCCCUGCCUCUGACUGCGAAGGGGGCGCUGGCCUCCCAGACGCUGAAUCCACUGCCUGGAAGGCAGAGGAGCCGCAAUCAGCAGCAGCAAUAAGGAUCGGUGCUGAGUUCUGGUCACGUGCAAAGCUCCCCAUCAGGGAUCUCCUGCGGGUCACCUCACGGAAACAACUCGAAGGAUUCCUGAACACAGCAAACAGGUUGGGAAGCUGAAGCCUGGGAGGAAGCCACUAGGGUCUGCUGUGACAGGAACAGAGCCGCACUCUGCACUGUGACAUUAAGUACCUGCCACUUGCCUGCUGCAACAGUGAGUCACAGGGAUGCCCAGACAGCAACAUUCCACAUGCCUGCUCAGUAGCCUGGAUCCCAGAGAGAAGCGGCAUGGCAGGGAGAAGCUGACAUACAGCAGACAAGACUAGUGAAGAGGAAUCCGUGUGGUUGCAAGGCAGUGAGAUGGAGGGGCUGCUUGUUACCGCAGCACAACUCAGCUUGCUGACUGACACUGCUGGUGGUAGCACAUGAGCCACAAAUUUCUAAGCUGCACAUCCGGGUUGUG